AAGAAGGUGUUCGAGAGGGACGGUUGUCAAAGGAGGAGGUAUCGUCAAGCAAGAGAUACAACAAUAGUUUUGGGAAGAAAAAAGGCAGUGAAACCCACACAAUAACUAGUGGGAGGCAAAGGAGGCCUCAAAAUAGAAGGAAUCAACCACCCCGUCAACACCAUCAUCAAGUAUCCUCCAUAAUUCCUGUAUUUUCCGCAAGUCAAUCAACACCAAUUCAACAACAA
rnacentral:lncRNA from 1 species